UGGGGAAUUUUGGACAAUGGGCGAAAGCCUGAUCCAGCAAUGCCGCGUGUGUGAAGAAGGCCUUCGGGUUGUAAAGCACUUUUGUCCGGAAAGAAAUCCUUGGCUCUAAUACAGUCGGGGGAUGACGGUACCGGAAGAAUAAGCACCGGCUAACUACGUGCCAGCAGCCGCGGUAAUACGUAGGGUGCAAGCGUUAAUCGGAAUUACUGGGCGUAAAGCGUGCGCAGGCGGUUUGCUAAGACCGAUGUGAAAUCCCCGGGCUCAACCUGGGAACUGCAUUGGUGACUGGCAGGCUAGAGUAUGGCAGAGGGGGGUAGAAUUCCACGUGUAGCAGUGAAAUGCGUAGAGAUGUGGAGGAAUACCGAUGGCGAAGGCAGCCCCCGGGCCAAUACUGACGCUCAUGCACGAAAGCGUGGGGAGCAAACAGGAUUAGAUACCCUGGUAGUCCACGCCCUAAACGAUGUCAACUAGUUGUUGGGGAUUCAUUUCCUUAGUAACGUAGCUAACGCGUGAAGUUGACCGCCUGGGGAGUACGGUCGCAAGAUUAAAACUCAAAUGAAUUGACGGGGUCAUAGCUGUUUCCU
rnacentral:rRNA from 1 species